CAGGAGACAAUAGGCUGAAGAGGGGAAUAAGCAUGAACUGACUGGGAUAAAGACUUAGAAACAGUCAGAGCAAAUACAUCAAUAGAGAAAAGAAGCCACAUAGAAUUGGAAAUACAGGAAGAAGCAAGAAGUGCUUGUAUUGGAAAUGAUCCACUUGGACACAGAGUCUAACAAUUUCUUUUUACUACCUAAUGUGAGGGGGCUACAGUUAUUCCCAAAUGUCACAUGUU